rnacentral:rRNA from 1 species
AUGGGUUCCGACUUCAAGGCCAUCCCGCUCGUCGACAUCAGCGCGCUCGUGGAGAAGGUCGACGAUCCGGGCAUGGCCGGCGACGGGGACCUGCUGGACGUCGUCCGCGAGCUCGACCGCGCCUGCAAGGACGCCGGCUUCUUCUACGUGAAAGGCCACGGGAUAGCGGAGCCGUUGAUGGCAGAAGUGAGGGACGUCACGCGCAGCUUCUUCCAGCUCCCGCUCGAGGAGAAACGCAAGAUCAGGCUCACACCUCGGACUGGAUACAGAGGGUACCAGAGAGUGGGCGAGAACAUCACCAACGGCAAGCUUGAUAAGCAUGAAGCGAUCGAUUGCUACGCGCAUAUCGAACCGGGCAAGUAUGGAGAUCUCGGCAAGCAUUUGGAAGGAGAUAAUUUGUGGAAGAUCAUGCGAGGUAUAGCCUUGGCACUAGGUGCGCCGUCGAAUGCUUUCGAAGGUGGAACGGCGGGAGAUCCUUUCUGGUAUCUCAGGCUGAUUGGGUAUCCAGCCCCAGCUAGUAUUCCACAGGAGCAACACACUGAUACUGGAUGUGGAGCUCACACGGAUUACGGCCUUUUGACACUGGUUAACCAAGAUGAUGACAUUUGUGCUCUUGAGGUCAGAAACCUGUCUGGCGAGUGGAUACAGGCGAAGCCAGUCCCUGGAACCUUUGUCUGCAACAUUGGUGACAUGCUAGAGGUUUGGUCUAAUGGAAUAUAUCAGCCCACACUCCAUAGAUUUUUCAACAACUCUCUUCAUUACCGUGUAUCUGUUGCCUUCUUCUAUGAGUCGAACUUCAAUGUUGUGGUUGAGCCUGCGGAGCUAUGCCGGGAGAAAACGGGCGGCGUUGCCAAGUACGACAAGGUGGUAUACGGGGAGCAUCUGGUCAAGAAAGUUGUGAACAACUUCGUGUUGUAA